AACGAACGCUGGCGGCAGGCUUAACACAUGCAAGUCGAGCGCCCCGCAAGGGGAGCGGCAGACGGGUGAGUAACGCGUGGGAAUCUACCCAACCCUACGGAAUAACGCAUGGAAACGUGUGCUAAUACCGUAUACGCCCUACGGGGGAAAGAUUUAUCGGGGAUGGAUGAGCCCGCGUUGGAUUAGCUAGUUGGUGGGGUAAAGGCCUACCAAGGCGACGAUCCAUAGCUGGUCUGAGAGGAUGAUCAGCCACAUUGGGACUGAGACACGGCCCAAACUCCUACGGGAGGCAGCAGUGGGGAAUAUUGGACAAUGGGCGCAAGCCUGAUCCAGCCAUGCCGCGUGAGUGAUGAAGGCCCUAGGGUUGUAAAGCUCUUUCACCGAUGAAGAUAAUGACGGUAGUCGGAGAAGAAGCCCCGGCUAACUUCGUGCCAGCCGCCGCGGUAAAAC
rnacentral:rRNA from 1 species